rnacentral:piRNA from 1 species
UUCCUUCACCGUUCAGGAAAUCUCAGC